CCUGGGCUCCACACAUCUCUGCACUACUGUACACCACCAGCAAGCUAAUAUGGGUUCAGUCUCCCUGUCCGAAUUUCACAUCAGAGCCUCUCAUUCCAUUUCCAAGAAGCCUGGAGACAAGGAGUCUUCAUGAACCUUUUGUUCACAACCUCAAUCAGUGAAGAGAGGAAGUCCGCUUUCAGCUCCUCUCCAGGAUCCCCGUGGGUGGCUUCCCUCCACCAUAUGUUCCUCCGAAGCUGUGCUGCCCAGCCACUUGCCUUGGGGCUCGGUACAAAUGCAUCUUGGAGGUGAAGUGCUGGGGAAGACGAAAGUGCUCUUUCCAGAUGGCACCAAAUUAGCCUCUUGAGAUACGGAUUUGCCGGGAAUAUGUUUAUAAGGAAAGCAAACAAAGGAGUCCCUGGAGAUUUUAAACAGUCUAGGGCCUUGGGUGGGAAAUGGGGGAGGUAAUGCAUCCCAUUUAUGUACAGGGGCAAUUCUGAAGCUACAUGACAUGGAAAAAGACUGUCCUUUUCCCGUUUGGCUACAUAGAAUGGCAGUGCUUACUGUUGCAAACAGUGAGUUCACUGUUCAACUCCAGGCCCCAGCCUCUGACAUCAAGCUCUGGAUUGUCUGCUGACUAAAGUGCUAGAAGACAAAGAAACUGAAUAGAAGGAAGGCUCGUGGGACCCCUGCAUUCUGCUUGCUUAUUCUUAGAGGCCACCCCUCCACAGAAGACUUCUUAGGACAUUGCCUUGCUGUGGUUCUGCACCAGUUGCUAUGUCUGGAUAUGAAAUAAUUCUAGCGAGAUCCUCGUUAAAAUGCUAAGCAAAAGCAAAGCUUUAUGAAGCACAUAAUAUUCAUACAAGUUUAAGAAAAAUAUCCAUCCAUUUGGAGAACAAAUGUUUUUGAAACUCUAUGCAAACUCUUAAUUACGAUACAUUUUUACUUUUCAUUAUAGUAGGUUCUUAGAGGACUUUUACUUCAUAGCAUUUUAUACCUGAGUUAUUGUUAUUAUUGAAAGAAAAUUGAAAUAAAUUUCACAAUCCUUUGCCAUAUAUCAUUUUAACUAUUUAACACUGUUUCUCCCUGAAGACAUUACACGUUUUUGGAUUGUUACUAUGUUAGGUUGCUUCCUGGCCAGCCCCUCUCUCAAAGUCAUGAACGGUGAGCUCUUGAUCCAGAGAAAUCAAAUCUUUAAAGGUAAACUCAAUAAAAUAAUGUCACUUUGUUCAAAGAAAAAGCAGAUGAAAUAUCUUAAUGAGAGUUAUCAACUAAGCAAAUAUUUAUUGAGAAUCUACGCGGUUCUUUUGAGGCCCAUGUCUUUGUAGUGUUCUGUCAUAGUAAGAGGUCCAGCUACUCUGAAGCUGCCAUGCUGUGAUGUCCAGGCCACGUGGAGAGGCCGUGUGAACCUGCUCCAGCCAAUAGCUGAGGUCCCACGCAACAGCUCGCAUCAACUGCCAGACAGGAGUGAAGACUCCUCCAGAGAACUUCAGCCUCCAGCCAUUGAUUCAUUCAUAGCCUUCAAGCCCUUCCCAGCUGAGGCACAAGACAUUGUGGAGUGCAGUGCAGUAGCUGAAUUCCUGACCCACAGAAACUACGGGCAUAAUAAAGGGAUUGCUGUAUGCCA
rnacentral:lncRNA from 1 species